rnacentral:rRNA from 1 species
AGAAUCAACGCUGGCGGCGUGCCUAACACAUGCAAGUCGAACGAGAAAGUGGAGCAAUCCACAAGUAAAGUGGCGCACGGGUGAGUAACACGUGACUAACCUACCCUUGAGUGGGGGAUAACCUAGAGAAAUCUGGGCUAAUACCGCAUAAUACCUUCGGGUCAAAGGAGCAAUUCGCUUAAGGAGGGGGUCGCGGCCGAUUAGUUAGUUGGCGGGGUAAUGGCCCACCAAGACUAUGAUCGGUAUCCGGCCUGAGAGGGCGCACGGACACACUGGAACUGAAACACGGUCCAGACUCCUACGGGAGGCAGCAGUGGGGAAUUUGCGCAAUGGGGGAAACCCUGACGCAGCAACGCCGCGUGGAGGAUGAAGCCCCUUGGGGCGUAAACUCCUUUCGAUCGGGACGAUAAUGACGGUACCGAGAGAAGAAGCCCCGGCUAACUUCGCGCCAGCAGCCGC